AGGCCAUCAGGCUAAGGGCACGCCUGCCUGGGCGUCGUGUGCUGCAUCUCUUUUGCCAAUGCUUGCCCGACAUACAAUUAGGCCAGUAUUGCAUAGAUAUGAAAGAUUGACCCCUUGUGCUUAGGUGCGGUGGGUCUAAGGAUUGGUGUUUUGAUGUCCCGAACCCCGGC
rnacentral:rRNA from 1 species